GUAAUGAUACAACAAACCAAGAGCGGUAAUGUCCUCUGCCAGUAGCUAGAAUACAGUAUUUAUGUUUAAUACCUUUACUGCUAAAUUCGUUAGAUGGGACGAAUUUGCGCUCUUUGCCUGUAAUGGGGAAGGAACAGGAUGACAAGCUGGGAAGAAUCGGGCUGGGAUAGAAGCGACCUCCAUUACGCCGUAGGCCAUUACUCCAGCGUUCCCCUACCUUGCCGAAAAACAGCCAGGAGUCCCAGGCGGUAGCUGAGGCAGGACGGGCGGUAAUUGGAGAAUAGUCUCGCUUUGGGAGAGUCGGUGAGAAAGUUGGCAGGCACAGCUACAGAAAAUAAAUUAAAAACCAAGAAAAAUCGAGGGGCAGUCAGCGUGGCAUUACGUGGCCAACGGGC